ensembl:lncRNA
CACCUUUUGGUCGGUUCUGGUAAGGACAGUCCUUUGGCCCUGUGGGAAACAGAAACGGAAAGCGAAUUCUCUCUUCCACGGAGUAAGACGGCAGCGCUUCAGCAAUGCCAGCGGAUUGUAAUGUUUAUUUGGCUUUGACCAAUGCCUGGUGACAGACGCGGAAGGACUUGAACUACCAACUCAGUUUAGGAGGAAGCCAAGACUGAAGGUUUUCUACCUCCCAGUAUGUAAGUUCCCUGUAUUCUUUAAUAUACAACGUUCCUUUAAUAAAACAAACAAAAUCCCCAACAACUUAUUUUUGAUGUAGCUGCCAUUCUUUUCUUGGAUUCAAUACAGCAAGUUUUGGCUGAAGCAGCCAGGAACUUAAUUAGCAACUAAUGUACCAACUUGUAGUAAACAUCAACAUUUGUCUAUGUCAUGAGGGAAAAAAAAAAAAAAAGACACCCACACUGAAAAAUGGCAGCUUUGGUUAAGUACAGAAGCCACAUAAAUGUGAGUCCUUCGAGUUGCUACUCACUCUGGCAUUCUGCAGCCCUGGGUGACUAUAGGUGGUAGUUCAUCUGCUUCAUAAUGAGAACCUUGUGGUCCAGAGUUAUAUGGAGGUGGAAGGGGUCAUUUAGGCUACUGAAAAGAUAUAUUUAGGCAAUGCCAUCAGUUGGUGGGCUUCCCAGGUGGUGCAGUGGUAAAGAAUCCACCUGCCAACGCAGGAGAUGCAAGAGACCCUCGGCAGGGAAGAUCCCUGGGUCGGGAAGAUCCCCUGUAGAAUGAAAUGGCAACCCACUCCGGGAUUCUUACCUGGAAAAUCCUGUGGACAUGGGUUAACAAUGCACAUUCAAUGAAGUUUGGAUAGGCCAGAGAAGUUUGGUUGUGUUUUGCACUGGGUAAGAGAAAUACAGAAUCUUUGUUUACUCGAGGACAGAAAAUACCCAAUUCAGUACGUUAUAGCUGUUUUCUUAGUUUAGUUACUAACUACAUUCUGUAGCUAGUAAUAGCUUUUUCCUCCCCAGGAAUUGUAAUAUGCUUAAAGAAAAG